rnacentral:rRNA from 1 species
AGAGGGCGUGAAACCGCUUAGAAGGAAACGAGAGGCGCCGCGAGUUGCCUGCAAGAUUCAAUCGUUGGGCUGAUUUGAACCCUUGAUGAUGCAUUUUUUGUAGGCUUGCACUGAGAGCUGUGCUGGUAGUGUUGUAGACUUCUAAUAGGGAGGCGCGUCAGCGUUACUUUGUUGGCUGUAUGCUUCGUGUUCUGGUACAGUUAUUAGGCACCCUGAAUGGUUCGGCUGCGGGUGAGUGCUUCCUCGUCUCCUUCUUUUUACUUCCAGUCAGGAGUGGGAUUCGGGGUUGUGCAAAUUUAUCAGUUGAUUAGGUGUCGUUUCGGUGUGAAAGUCGGCUACCCUCCCGACCCGUCUUGAAACACGGACCAAGGAGUCUAUCAUGUGCGCGAGUCAUUGGGUUUAUAAAACCUACGGGCGUAAUGAAAGUGAAGACCGGCUCGGUCGGUUGACGCGUGAUCCAUUCGGCUUGCUGUUUGGUGCAAUGCGGUCCCAUCUCAGAUGCUUGUCAUCGAGGUGGAGAUUGAGCGUACAUGUUGGGACCCGAAAGAUGGUGAACUAUGCCUGAACAGGAUGAAGCCAGAGGAAACUCUGGUGGAAGUCCGAAGCGGUUCUGACGUGCAAAUCGA